rnacentral:tRNA from 1 species
UAAAGUAAAGCUUUAAAUAAAGUAUCCUUUGAAGGAGGAAAGAUUGUUGUUAUUAUACUUUAA